UACGAAGGGGGCUAGCGUUGCUCGGAAUCACUGGGCGUAAAGGGUGCGUAGGCGGGUUCUUAAGUCAGAGGUGAAAGCCUGGAGCUCAACUCCAGAACUGCCUUUGAUACUGGGAAUCUUGAGUUCGGAAGAGGUGAGUGGAACUGCGAGUGUAGAGGUGAAAUUCGUAGAUAUUCGCAAGAACACCAGUGGCGAAGGCGGCUCACUGGUCCGAUACUGACGCUGAGGCACGAAAGCGUGGGGAGCAAACAGG
rnacentral:rRNA from 1 species